rnacentral:rRNA from 1 species
UACGGAGGGUCCAAGCGUUAUCCGGAAUCAUUGGGUUUAAAGGGUCCGUAGGCGGUUUAGUAAGUCAGUGGUGAAAGCCCAUCGCUCAACGGUGGAACGGCCAUUGAUACUGCUAAACUUGAAUUAUUAGGAAGUAACUAGAAUAUGUAGUGUAGCGGUGAAAUGCUUAGAGAUUACAUGGAAUACCAAUUGCGAAGGCAGGUUACUACUAAUGGAUUGACGCUGAUGGACGAAAGCGUGGGUAGCGAACAGG